AGAGUUUGAUCAUGGCUCAGGAUGAACGCUAGCGGGAGGCCUAAUACAUGCAAGUCGAGCGGUAGAGUGACUUCGGUUGCUUGAGAGCGGCGCACGGGUGAGUAACGCGUACAUGACCUACCUUUAAGACUGGGAUAGCCCUGGGAAACUGGGAUUAAUACCGGAUGUGAUAAUACGUAUAGAGAUGUAUUAUUAAAGUUGAGGCGCUUAGAGAUGGAUGUGCGUCUGAUUAGCUAGUUGGUAGGGUAACGGCCUACCAAGGCUACGAUCAGUAGGGGGCGUGAGAGCGUGGCCCCCCACACGGGUACUGAGACACGGACCCGACUCCUACGGGAGGCAGCAGUAAGGAAUAUUGGUCAAUGGACGGAAGUCUGAACCAGCCAUCCCGCGUGCAGGAUGACUGCCCUAUGGGUUGUAAACUGCUUUUAGCAGAGACGAAACGCCUUCAUUUAUGAGGGUCUGACGGUAUCUGCAGAAUAAGCACCGGCUAACUCCGUGCCAGCAGCCGCGGUAAUACGGAGGGUGCAAGCGUUAUCCGGAAUCACUGGGUUUAAAGGGUGCGUAGGCGGAUAUUUAAGUCAGUGGUGAAAUCUUGUCGCUUAACGAUAAAAUUGCCAUUGAUACUGAAUGUCUUGAAUUGGGUUGAGGUUAGCGGAAUGUGACAUGUAGCGGUGAAAUGCAUAGAUAUGUCAUGGAACACCAAUUGCGAAGGCAGCUAGCUGGGCCUUGAUUGACGCUGAGGCACGAAAGCGUGGGUAGCGAACAGGAUUAGAUACCCUGGUAGUCCACGCCCUAAACGAUGCUAACUCGAUGUUUGGACGUAAGUUUGAGCAUCCAAGGGAAACCG
rnacentral:rRNA from 1 species